GAAAAGGAAAACACCAGUGGGAAAGCGAGAAAUCAGCUUGAAGGAGUCGAACUAGAGCCUGCAGCAGAAGUUGAAGCCGAAAGCAACUCAGCAAGGGCACUCAUGGCUCGAACUUGCAUUUCAAGGGCAGCUAUGUAAUCGGUAGCUUCUUCCAGAAUAACCGGCAACGGUUCUUUCCGGCAACCGGGAACUAGCCGGCCAAGAACCCUAACUUUCCUUUGUACCGCCGGUAAGGAUUUCCGUCUCAACCGCAAUACGCUGACUCUAGGUUUCUUUGACCGGUUGUUUCCAG
rnacentral:misc_RNA from 1 species